rnacentral:lncRNA from 1 species
AAGUCGUUACAUAAACGGACGGAAGUGACGUUUAUAUAACAGCAGAUGACUCAAACGUCUGGCAUAGCAGCCGAGUUGUUGUACUGUCGAUGUAUGUAAAUCUUGUCUCGACUAUUUUAAAAUUAUUAUUUUAUUACUACCGGCGAUAUUUAAACAUUUUUGUCUUUCCACAAGCUAAAAUAUUUCUAUGAUAAAGCUAUCAUUCGACGGCAGUGUUUGUCUCUCGGAUGGAUAUACCUUAUAUACUGUAGUAUGAUUUAAAACUCUAAUGCAAGGUGA